rnacentral:tRNA from 1 species
GCGCCCGUAGCUCAGCACGGAUAGAGCGUUGGUCUACGAAACCAAAGGUCACAGGUUCGAAUCCUGUCGGGCGCGCCA